rnacentral:rRNA from 1 species
CACGUAGGGGGCAAGCGUUGUCCGGAUUUAUUGGGCGUAAAGAGCUCGUAGGCGGCUCAGUAAGUCGGGUGUGAAACCUCCAGGCUCAACCUGGAGACGCCACCCGAUACUGCUGUGGCUUGAGUCCGGUAGGGGAGCGUGGAAUUCCUGGUGUAGCGGUGAAAUGCGCAGAUAUCAGGAGGAACACCGGUGGCGAAGGCGGAUCUCUGGGCCUUACCUGACGCUCAGGUGCGAAAGCUAGGGGAGCGAACAGG